AAGGAAAAGAAAGAUUGCUACACGGAGAAAGGAGAAAGAGAGACCGAGAGAAAAGUGAGACAGAAAAAUAGAUAGGCAGAGAACGGAGAAGGAGAGAGAGAUCGAGAGAUCAAAAACUGCAGUUUGCAAUCAAGAAUGAAAAGAUGUCUCUUACUUCCUGUUAGAUUUUCUGCCAUCACCGUAAGCCUCCACUCGCUACCCGACCAUCGGAAUCACUACUGAUUUGGUUUUGAUUAAGGGAUACGAAGAUAGAGGAACCAAGCAGAGUUCGUUAGCGUUACAGAGAAAGGGAAGGAGACAAAAAAAAAGUUUGCGGCACAGUGGAGAUUCGACUGAAACUGAAAGAUAUUUAGAUUCCAAAAACAGCGAUUGAUAGAGAUCAUAAGGCAGAGAGAGAAACAUUUGAGGACUGCCAUUACCGCCAUUCUGGCCUUCCACAAUCAUGAUUCAUCCGAAACCGAAACAUUUAGAAUCAACAUUAAGAGAAAGUUGGUAACUGUAAGUCAUGCACAAAGACGAAGAGAUGGACAGCGAGAAAGAGGAAAUAGAGUAUUCCCACCCAUUGGCAGAUUUUGUAGCUAUCUGAAUUCUGGGCUGUACAUGAACCACUAACAAAUGGAGAAUCAAGGUAACUAUUGACUGUCAUUCACAUGGGCAACAAAGCUCUACAUCAACUUUGACAUUUCAAAAGUCACAAAGGAAAUUAUGCCAAAAGGACCUCCUAAAGGAUUGGAUGGAUAACUUUCUUACAUAAUAGAAAAAUAGUUGCUAAAAUAGAAGACUUGGAUGCAUAAAAAAUGUUUAAGAAUUAUGCACCAAGUUCUAUUCCUUAUACCCUUUUCUUAUUUACUUAGUUUUCUGUUUUAUUUUAGAUUAUGAGAGAUUUAAAUUUCUGUAUUUAGGCUAUGGUUUUGUAAUCUAAGCAUCCUAAGAUUCUUAUAUCAACAUGAAUUUAAGUUUUGUAAUAUAUGUGAUUCUAAUUU